GAGUAUGAUAGAGGAAAGCAGAAUUUCUAGUGUAGAGGUGAAAUUCGUAGAUAUUAGAAAGAAUACCAAUUGCGAAGGCAGCUUUCUGGAUCAUUACUGACACUGAGGAACGAAAGCAUGGGUAGCGAAGAGGAUUAGAUACCCUCGUAGUCCAUGCCGUAAACGAUGUGUGUUAGACGUUGGAAAUUUAUUUUCAGUGUCGCAGGGAAACCGAUAAACACACCGCCUGGGGAGUACGACCGCAAGGUUAAAACUCAAAUGAAUUGACGGGGACCCGCACAAGUAGUGGAGCAUGUGGUUUAAUUCGAAGAUACGCGCAGAACCUUACCAACACUUGACAUGUUCGUCGCGACUCUAAGAGAUUAGAGUUUUCGGUUCGGCCGGACGAAACACAGGUGCUGCAUGGCUGUCGUCAGCUCGUGUCGUGAGAUGUUGGGUUAAGUCCCGCAACGAGCGCAACCCUCACUUUUAGUUGCCAUCAUUAAGUUGGGCACUCUGAAAGAACUGCCAGUGAUAAGCUGGAGGAAGGUGGGGAUGACGUCAAGUCCUCAUGGCCCUUACGUGUUGGGCUACACACGUGCUACAAUGGUAUUUACAACAGGAAGCAAGACUGCGAGGUCAAGCAAAUCCCUAAAAGAUACCUCAGUUCGGAUUGCACUCUGCAACUCGAGUGCAUGAAGCUGGAAUUACUAGUAAUCGUGGAUCAGCGUGCCACGGUGAAUGCGUUCCCGGGUCUUGUACACACCGCCCG
rnacentral:rRNA from 1 species